GAGUCGCAAACUCGCGAGAGUAAGCUAAUCUCUUAAAGCCGUUCUCAGUUCGGACUGUAGGCUGCAACUCGCCUACACGAAGUCGGAAUCGCUAGUAAUCGCGGAUCAGCAUGCCGCGGUGAAUACGUUCCCGGGCCUUGUACACACCGCCCGUCACACCAUGGGAGUUUGUAACGCCCAAAGUCGGUGGCCUAACCUUUAUGGAGGGAGCCGCCUAAGGCGGGACAGAUGACUGGGGUGAAGUCGUAACAAGGUAGCCGUAGGAGAACCUGCGGCUGGAUCACCUCCUUUCUAAGGAA
rnacentral:rRNA from 1 species